GAUGAAGAACGUAGCGAAAUGCGAUAAGUAAUGUGAAUUGCAGAAUUCAGUGAAUCAUCGAAUCUUUGAACGCACAUUGCGCCCGUCAGUAUUCUGGCGGGCAUGCCUGUUCGAGCGUCAUUACGCCCCUCAAGUCCCCUGUGGACUUGGUGUUGGGGAUCGGCGAGGCUGGUUUUCCAGCACAGCCGUCCCUUAAAUUAAUUGGCGGUCUCGCCGUGACCCUCCUCUGCGCAGUAGUAAAACACUCGCAACAGGAGCCCGGCGCGGUCCACUGCCGUAAAACCCCCCAACUUUUUAUAGUUGACCUCGAAUCAGGUAGGACUACCCGCUGAACUUAAGCAUAUCAAUAAGCGGAGGA
rnacentral:misc_RNA from 1 species